rnacentral:rRNA from 1 species
CCUACGGGUGGCAGCAGUGGGGAAUAUUGGGCAAUGGGCGCAAGCCUGACCCAGCAACGCCGCGUGAAGGAAGAAGGCUUUCGGGUUGUAAACUUCUUUUGUCAGGGAAGAGUAGAAGACGGUACCUGACGAAUAAGCCACGGCUAACUACGUGCCAGCAGCCGCGGUAAUACGUAGGUGGCAAGCGUUGUCCGGAUUUACUGGGUGUAAGGGGCGUGUAGGCGGGUUGACAAGUCAGAUGUGAAAUCCUGCGGCUUAACCGCAGAACUGCAUUUGAAACUGUUGAUCUUGAGUACUGGAGAGGCAGACGGAAUGCCUGGUGUAGCGGUGAAAUGCGUAGAGAUUAGGAGGAACACCGGUGGCGAAGGCAGUCUGCCAGACAGCAACUGACGGUGAGGCGCGAAAGCGUGGGGAGCAAACAGGAUUAGAUACCCUAGUAGUC